rnacentral:rRNA from 1 species
GAAUAUUGGAUAAUGGGGGGAACCCUGAUCCAGCCAUGCCGCGUGUGUGAAGAAGGCCUUUUGGUUGUAAAGCACUUUAAGCGAGGAGGAGGCUACUCUAGUUAAUACCUAGGGAUAGUGGACGUUACUCGCAGAAUAAGCACCGGCUAACUCUGUGCCAGCAGCCGCGGUAAUACAGAGGGUGCAAGCGUUAAUCGGAUUUACUGGGCGUAAAGCGCGCGUAGGUGGCCAAUUAAGUCAAAUGUGAAAUCCCCGAGCUUAACUUGGGAAUUGCAUUCGAUACUGGUUGGCUAGAGUAUGGGAGAGGAUGGUAGAAUUCCAGGUGUAGCGGUGAAAUGCGUAGAGAUCUGGAGGAAUACCGAUGGCGAAGGCAGCCUUCUGGCAUCAUAUUGACACUGAGGUUCGAAAGCGUGGGUAGCAAACAGG